UCAAGAAAAUAAUGUAGCUAGUAAGGCUUCUGAGUCUUUUAAUUUUACGGUGGUGGAGGUUAACCCGUAUUUAGAGAAUAAAUGUUUAGAGGCAAGCCCAGAUAAAAUUGCAGAUUUUAAUGAGAACACAGAUGGUGGUUUUUUAAUGGCGGAAGUUCAAGAGCUUUUUGUAUGUAAGCCUUUGGAUCUGCUAUUACCUGAAGCAACAAUUAUGAAUUAUGGCUCAAAAACUGAAUGUGUAGAUUUUUAUAUUAGCAAAGAAUUCGAAAAUUAUAAUGUAGCUGGUCCCUUGACUAAAGGUGAAAAUUUAGAUGAGACAAAAAUAUCCUCCGAGCUAAAUUCGGAUCAAGAACGCACUAUUUAUGAAUUAAGAAAUGUUUUAGAUGAUUCCGAUCAAGAUUACGUCCCUGAUAGUUCUUCGUCAGAAACCUCCGAUGAAGAGGAUGUUACGGAUAACCAUGUUCCCUUAACUACCAAUUUUCUAAAGAAAAGAACCCGUUGGAACAAAUCAGAUCCUUCUCAAUGGAAAAAAAAUCUCACUAAGCGUCAGAAAGUCGAAGCUAAAGCCCCACAAAAUAUUGAUUGCUCAAAAUGUCGUUUUAAGUGUACAGAGAAGAUUUUUUUAGAAAAAAGAUUGAUAAUUUGUAAGAACUAUUGGAGCUGCGAUUUUAACAGAAGAAAAGAUUUUGUUUUAAACAAUGUUAUAAAUAAAGUGCCUGAAAGACGAAGAUCAAAACGCACAAGCAUGAAAAAACCACGGGAAGACUCGAAAAGUUUCUUUUUUUACCACAAUGACACAACUGUAAGAGUAUGCAAAAGCUUUUUCAUUAAAACACUUUGUAUUAGCAAGGAGGUUUGGUUCCUGUAGAGCAUGCCUUUAGGAACCAAGGAGAGGGAAAAUUAUUUAGCGGUAAUAAUAAACGGGGAAAAAAGGAACCUCAGAAUAAAACUAAAUCUGAAGAUUAUGAAAAAGUUAAGGCUCAUAUUGAAUCUUUUCCUGUAAUGGAAUCUCAUUACACGCGAAAGUCUACUAAACGGCAGUAUCUGGAUUCCAAAUUAACCAUAGCAAAGAUGCAUUUUCUUUAUAAACAAUUUUGUGAAAAGGAUGAUUUAGUACCUAUUUCACUUAUAACUUAUAAAAGGAUAUUUUGCAAAAAUUAUAACUACUCGUUCUAUAAGCCAA